rnacentral:rRNA from 2 species
UUCGACCUGAACUCAGACGUGAGUACCC